AUUGAACGCUGGCGGAAUGCUUUACACAUGCAAGUCGAGCGGCAGCGCGGGGGCAACCCUGGCGGCGAGCGGCGAACGGGUGAGUAAUACAUCGGAACGUGUCCUUGAGUGGGGGAUAGCUCGGCGAAAGCCGGAUUAAUACCGCAUAAGCUCUGAGGAGGAAAGCGGGGGACCGGUAACGGCCUCGCGCUGUUGGAGCGGCCGAUGUCGGAUUAGCUAGUUGGUGGGGUAAAGGCCCACCAAGGCGACGAUCCGUAGCUGGUCUGAGAGGAUGAUCAGCCACACUGGAACUGAGACACGGUCCAGACUCCUACGGGAGGCAGCAGUGGGGAAUUUUGGACAAUGGGGGCAACCCUGAUCCAGCCAUUCCGCGUGAGUGAAGAAGGCCUGG
rnacentral:rRNA from 1 species